UACGUAGGUGGCAAGCGUUGUUCGGAAUUAUUGGGGCGUAAAGGGCGCGUAGGCGGUUUGUUAAGUCGGCUGUGAAAGCCCGGGGCUCAACCCCGGAGGGUCAGCCGAUACUGGCAGACUAGAGUACGGAAGAGGUAGCUGGAAUUCCCGGUGUAGCGGUGAGAUGCGUAGAUAUCGGGAGGAACACCUGAGGCGAAGGCGGGCUACUGGGCCGAUACUGACGCUGAUGCGCGAAAGCCAGGGGAGCGAACGGG
rnacentral:rRNA from 1 species